AACGAUAAGAACAGCCAGAGAGACACAUAGUACUGGUAACGAUAAGAACAGCCAGAGAGACACAUAGUACUGGUAACGAUAAGAACAGCCAGAGAGACACAUAGUACUGGUAACGAUAAGAACAGCCAGGGAGACACAUAGUACUGGUAACGAUAAGAACAGCCAGAGAGACAGGGAAAUGUCACUUGUUUUGACGCCUCGGUCACACCGACAGCGUCAUUGCGCAAAAUCUUACGCAGCAUCAUCUGGAUAUGUGGGUAACAAAAGUUCAACAUUCACCUUUCUGCUACCAUUUCUGUCAAGCCGACUACACAUACAGUUUGAUGCAUAAGUUUGAUUAAGUUCUAUAAAUCCAACGCACCACACAGAACGCACUGCAACUGCCUCGGCAAGGCAAUGCUGCAGGACAAACGCAGCUUUUCAUUGGAAAUGAAUGUAGUUCGGGUGGACCAAAAUGCAAUGAUACUGUCGGUGUGAUGGAGGCGUUAAUUAACAGAAUAGCUGGUAGUGAAUCCCCACUAACGUCUGUCUGGCUGUCUGCUGAAUAGCUGGUAGUGAAUCCCCACUAGCGUCUGUCUGGCUGUCUGCUGAAAAGCUGGUAGUGAAUCCCCACUAGCGUCUGUCUGGCUGUCUGCUGAAUAGCUGGUAGUGAAUCCCCACUAACGUCUGUCUGGCUGUCUGCUGAAUAGCUGGUAGUGAAUCCCCACUAGCGUCUGUCUGGCUGUCUGCUGAAUAGCUGGUAGUGAAUCCCCACUAGCGUCUGUCUGGCUGUCUGCUGAAUAGCUGGUAGUGAAUCCCCACUAGCGUCUGUCUGGCUGUCUGCUGAAUAGCUGGUAGUGAAUCCCCACUAGCGUCUGUCUGGCUGUCUGCUGAAUAGCUGGUAGUGAAUCCCCACUAGCGUCUGUCUGGCUGUCUGCUGAAUAGCUGGUAGUGAAUCCCCACUAGCGUCUGUCUGGCUGUCUGCUGAAUAGCUGGUAGUGAAUCCCCACUAGCGUCUGUCUGGCUGUCUGCUGAGUACUUUCCAUCUGUUUGCUUCCUUGAAUAAAACAUAAUAAAACAAAUCUUCUACAUUAUAAACAGUGAUACAUAUCUAGUUCAUUCAAACACAUAUACAGUCAGAACGCGACGUACCAGCAUUGGUGAAACUAUUUCUUUAAGUACUGCAUACAUAGCAAUGUUACAUUUUCAAUACAUCCUUAUGAAAUGCCAAAGGCCAUCGGUCUCAAAGGUGAGUGUCUGUUGCUGUCAGAGUGGUCUGUUGUUGUCAGAGUGGUCUGUUGUGUGUCUGCUGUCGGAGUGGUCUGUUGUGUGUCUGUUGUCAGAGUGGUAUUUUGUCAGAGUGGUCUGUUGUGUGUCUGUUGUCAGAGUGGUCUGUUGUGUGUGUUGUCAGAGUGGUAUUUUGUUAGAGUGGUCUGUUGUGUGUCUGUUGUCAGAGUGGUCUGUUGUGUGUCUGUUGUCAGAGUGGUAUUUUGUUAGAGUGGUCUGUUGUGUGUCUGUUGUCAGAGUGGUCUGUUAUGUGUCUGUUGUUUUCAGAAUCCAGUAGAGUCCAGUAAAGACCAGUAGAGUCCAGUAGAGACACAGUAGAGACACAGUAGAGUCCAGUCAAGAGUCCAGUGAAGAGUCCAGUAGAGUCCAGUAGAGACCAGUAGAGACACAUCAAGACACAGUAGAGUCCAGUGGAAACCGAGUGGAGACCAGUAGUCCAGUAGAGUCCAGUAGAGACACAGUAGAGUCCAGUAGAGACACAGUAGAGUCCAGUAGAGACCAGUAGUCCAGAGAGACCAGUAGAAUCCAGUAGAGUCCAGUGGAGACACAGUAGAGUCCAGUGGAGACCGAGUGGAGACCAGUAGUCCAGUAGAGUCCAGUAGAGACACAGUAGAGUCCAGUAGAGACCAGUAGAGUCCAGUAGAGACACAGUAGAUUCCAGUAGAGACACAGUAGAGUCCAGUAGAGACACAGUAGAGUGCCCAGUGUUACAGGCGUCACUGGGCAUGCUUAACAGGAUAGCUUCCUCAUUCAAGUCCUUACUGAUCAUCCGUAACACCAGUUCUCAGUGCAGUGGCAUCACAGCUAGAAGAGGAAGACACAUUGACAGGGUUAACAAAAAGGAUUUACAAACUGUCAAACAUUGUAAAUGUCCAACCCCAACUGUCUGGUUACUAACUGAGCUAGAGAAAGGUUGAUUUAACAUGACUGUCUAACAUCUAGACUGUACAUCUAUUGAUUAGGCUCAUUUGACGUCUUAUGACUGUAAGAGUAGAUGAUUACAAUGUAGCACUGUCAUAACUUUUUAUUAUAACAGAUUUCUGCACCAAUGAUCUGCUGCCCCCUAGCUGCUGAGCUGAGGUAUAAACAACAAGUGAACCUAUCACCAAUUAUCUGCUGCCCCCUAGCUGCUGAGCUGAGGUAUAAACAACAAGUGAACCUAUCACCAAUUAUCUGCUGCCCCCUAGCUGCUGAGCUGUGGGAUGAACAACAAGUGAACCUAUCACCAAUGAUCUGCUGCCCCCUAGCUGCUGAGCUGAGGGAUGAACAACAAGUGAACCUUUUAACAUAAUGACCGUGCAUCAACAACGCCAACGAAAGCAGAACAAACAUACAGCUAUGUAACAUGCUAUAGCACACAUGGCAGAAGGACACAGAGGAGCAUGAGACAUGAGACCUGAGACAUGAGACAUGAGACCAGAG
ensembl:lncRNA